AUUGAACGCUGGCGGCAUGCCUUACACAUGCAAGUCGAACGGCAGCACGGGUGCUUGCACCUGGUGGCGAGUGGCGAACGGGUGAGUAAUACAUCGGAACGUACCUUAUCGUGGGGGAUAACGCAGCGAAAGCUGUGCUAAUACCGCAUACGCCCUGAGGGGGAAAGCGGGGGAUCGCAAGACCUCGCGCGAUUAGAGCGGCCGAUGCCUGAUUAGCUUGUUGGUGGGGUAAAAGCCCACCAAGGCGAGGAUCAGUAGCUGGUCUGAGAGGAGGAUCAGCCACACUGGGACUGAGACACGGCCCAGACUCCUACGGGAGGCAGCAGGGGGGAAUUUUGGACAAUGGGGGCAACCCUGAUCCAGCAAUGCCGCGUGAGUGAGGAAGGCCUUCGGGUUGUAAAGCUCUUUUGUCAGGGAAGAAACACCGGCUCUAACACAGUCCGGGAAUGACGGUACCUGAAGAAUAAGCACCGGCUAACUACGUGCCAGCAGCCGCCGUAA
rnacentral:rRNA from 1 species